rnacentral:lncRNA from 10 species
CUGAAGCCAGGAGGCCCAGUUCAGGUGCUCCGCCAGGGCUCCCGUGGUCCUGCCUGCAGGGGCGAGGUAGCAGGACCCCCUUGUUUAGCCUCUGCUGCAUCCUUAGCUGCAGCAGGGAGCCUGCCAGGCAGGUGUGCGACAGGCAGGACAGCGAUGUCUUCCUGCAUGACAGAAGGGGAAACUGAGGCCCAGAGUGAUGCAGCCCGGGACCUCCCAGGACAAGGUCCAAGCUCUUACCUCAGAUACAAACUCAUCUGGAAGCAUUAAAACAAUGGAAGCAGGGCCUGCUGUGCGCCAGCUGCUGGAGACAUGAAGACAUCGAAGACCCCAGGCCUUGACCUCCAAGAGCCCCCAGUUUGGUGGAAGAAACAAACAAGGAGACUGCAAAACACACCCUGUGAUGGGGAGGGUUGAGGUGGCCAGUGGGAGAGGCGAGCUGGCAGGGCUCAGUGGUGAGGUGAAGGUGUGGGAGCAGGGACACAGCAUGAAGGAGUAGAUGGCCAGGUUGAGCUUUGCAGGCUCCAGGGGGAGGAUAAAGAGCUGACACCUGGAACGUGCUUGGAACAGCAGGUGCUCGGUCAGUGCAGCCACGACCAUCCCGUCCUGCAUCCCCACCAUGAACUUGGACCUUCUGGAAGGACCUUGCUUAUCCCAGCAUCCACACAUCCUUGACCAGACCUGGUCAACAUUUGCUUAGAACCGCCUGGCUGCUGGGAUGAGAAGAGACUGGAGAGAGACCACGAUGGAAGCCAGGAGGCCAACGAGGAGUUGGGGUAGUCCUCCAGGGAGACAUGAUGUGGCUUCAGCCCCAGUGGUGAUGGCGGGGUAGAGCCAGCAGGGUUCUGAACUGAGUGGAUGUGAAAUGAGGGAAAGAGGGAUGCUGCGGUCGGCAGAAUCGUGCCUCCCGCAAAGAUGCCCCAUCCUAACCCGUCACCCUUGACAGUGAGACCUCCACCACAAAGGGGACUUUGCAGGCAUGAAGGUUAAGGACCCUGAGAGGAGGAGAUGGCCCUGGACUGUCUGGCGGGCCCAGCAUCAUCACAAGGGUGCUUAUAAGUGGAGGAGGAGGCAGGGGGAGCCGAGCAGAUGUGAGGAUAGAAGCAGAGGUCGGAGGGACGUGCUGUUGGCUUGAGAUGGAGGAGGACCUAUGAGCCAAGGAGCAUGGGCGGCCUCUGGAAGCCAGAAAGGGCAAGGCCUCUUCCCGGAGCCUCCAGCAGAACCCAGCCCCGCUGCCACCUCGACUGCAGAACGGUGACACCGUGUCCGAUUCCCGACCUCCAGAACCGUGAGAUAACACGUGUGCUGUUUUAAGCCACUGCAAUUGUGGUAUUUGUCACAGCAGCCAUAGGAAACUGUACGGGGGUUAAAGAGGACCUGCUGACCUCUGAGCUCACACUGAAGCCUCCUGGAAUGCUGUGGGUUGUGAGCUGGGAUGAGAACGCAGCAUGGAGAUGAAAGACGCAUCCACCCAGGAAGGCCCACUGGCAUCGCAAUCUCAGGGAAGAUUCCCAGGCUGAAAAAAGAGAAAGUGGCUGGGGUGGCACUGAAUGCCCCACGUCAAAGAAAUGGCACCCAAGCCGUCCGUCAGUCCCUCACCUGCCACACAGACAGCACCUUGGACCCAGCAAGAUGUCACUCACCACAUUGAUGCUGUCCACAGGCAUCGCCUUGCUUUUGCAGCUCUGUGUGAGAUUUGUCAGCUUGGUUUGGGUCUGGGGCUGUAUUAGAGCUGUCAGCCUAGGAGCCUACCCUAGUUUUGUGUCUGCACUAUUUCCAAAGCACUGGAAUAAAAGGCAUUUUAACCAACACCAGGAACCCACGGGAAUCUUUUCAAAGGAUCUGCAUCAGAUCAGCCUAAGGAACACUGCUGUCGGUGAUGAAAUCUGUUGAGGAUUCGAAGCUGGCGUGUGGUGCACGCAAAUUCCUUUUUUCUUUUUUAAUCAAUGAUUAGAUGAUUCCUUAGAGCAGUUUUAGGUUCACUGCAAAACUGAACAGAAAGUGCAGAAUUCCCAUAUCCCACCUUCCCAAACACACACACAGUUUCCUCUGUGACUAACAUCUUGCAUCUUGUGGUACAUUUGUUACAAUUGAGGAACCAAUAUUGACCCAUUAUUAUAAAGUCAGUAGGUGACAUAAGCAGUCACUGUUGGUGUGGUGAUUCUGUGGCUUUGGAUAAAUGUAUAAUGACAUAUAUCCGCCAUUACAGUAUCACGCAGAAUAGCUUCACUGCCCCCAAUGUCCUCCGUCCUCCAUCCACUCACUCCUUACCUCCCCCAGCCCCUGGCAACCACUGAUCCUUUCCUGUCUCCACAGUUUUGCCUUUUCCGUAUGUCACAGGGUUGGAGUCAUACAGCUUGUAGCCUUUUCAGAUCGGC